GGACCAGGUCACCUGUCAGACCGCUUGCGCACAGUGGUAAGAGGGCCAGAACCCCGCAGGGGUUUUAGUUUAAAUCCUGCCCCUGAUUGAACCCGGGUAAGUCUAGACACAUCUCUUUUCAUACUUUGGGCUCGUUUAGAGCCUGCCGUGCUCACGGCCUGCUCCGUGGACUUCUUUCUUUCUGUCCCCGUACUGAGCCUGGUGUACCAGAUGCUCAAAGGAAGCUCUGGAAUUAGUUGUGGCUAAGUCUGCCGUGAUGAUAAGGCAUUCCUGAAAUUGCUCUCAGACGCCAGCGAUCCAUCUUUCACUGUUGGAUCAGUUGUUUGCUGGUGGCUUGGGGUGGUCCAGUUACAGGUGUGUUUAUCGGGGUUCAUGGAGACGCCGGGCGUCUCGGGUGGCUGAUGUGUGUCUCUCCUUCAGAGUUUGGGUUUCUCCCAAGAAGUCGGGGAAUCUCCUGCGAUAACGGGACUUACAGAAGUUCCUGUCAUGGCUCGUUGGAAAUGAACCUGACAAGUACCCAUGUGGACGCGCUUUCCAUCUCUGGCCUCCCUCAGUGGGUUAAGGAUCCGGCGUUGCCAUGAGCUGUGGUGUAGGUUGAAGACGUGGCUGGGAUCCUGCGUGGCUGUGGCUGUGAUGUAGGCCAGCAGCUGUAGGUCCGAUUCAGCCCCCAGCCUGGGGAAUUUCCAUAUGCCGUGGGUGCGGUGCUAAAAAGCAAAAUAAUAGUAAUAAUGACGAUGAUGGGACUUCCUAAGAAGAAACAGAGGGCAUCUGGCCGGGGGAGGGGGUGGGCACCACCAGAGCAGGCUUCUUUUGUGGUUGCAGGUGUGGGGUGGGCCCCCAUACCCAGUGACAUAGGCAUCUCUUGCGGGGGGUGUAAUUCUAUUUUUAGUGCAUUUAAAAUAUUUCCUUUAUCUUUGAAGAUAACAGGCAUAUGUGCUCCAUGUAAGCAAAUUAUAGAAAAUAAGGAAAACUUAGAAAAACAAAACCCACCUCCAGUUUCACUUUAGAGAACAGCUGUUAACAUGUGUUAACAUUUAUGGGGUUUUGAUGCUCUCCUUUCUGUCAUGUUCCUUUCUGGUGGCUUUAAAAUUCGGGUAAACACUAUCUAAGAGUCUGCGGGGCAUUCCCAUCGUGGCGCAGUGGAACUGAAUCCGACUAGGAACCAUGAGGUUGCGGGUUCCAUCCCUGCCCUUGCUGAGCAGGUUAAGGAUCCGGCGUUGCCGUGAGCUGUGGUGUAGGUCACAGAUGCUGCUCGGAUCUGGCAUUGCUGUGGCUGCGGUGUAGGUCAGUAGCUGUAGCUCCAAUUCGACCCCUAGCCUGGGAACCUCCAUGUGCCAUGGGUGCAGCCCUAAGAAAAAGAAAAAAAAAGGACUUUGCAGUUUGCACAAGAUUCAGGAACCCCUGUGCCACAUGGGAAACUGGGGCACACCGGCCAGCAUCCUGAGGCUGGGAAGCUUCGUGUGGCCUCGAGUUCAGAGUUCAGCCUUCUGUCCGCGAUCCCGUGGGAAAGCCGGAUCUCUCUGGGAGCCAGCGAUGGAGCGGCUCUGAGUCUCACCGAGGCCGAGCUCCCGCCUCGAGCCCCAGCACCUCCUCUCCUCCUGAAGCAGAAGCGCAGAACUCCAUCCCUUGCAAAGCUCAGGGCGUGAGCGCGACGUCGCGGGGGUCAGCAGGGCGGGUCUGACUGUCCAGUGGGCGCCUCCUCCUGGACCCGCGGCUCAGGAGCAGGCCCAGUGGAGGGGACUCCGGGCUGCAUCCCAGUGCGCUGGGCAUCCGCUGCGUGGCCUCCUGACAGCAGGGCCCCCCCAGAGCCCAGCUCUGCUUCCUUCCUUCCCCGUCUCCUGUGCCCACUCGCUUUGAAUCCCUGCAGGACAGGACCCUGCCCUGCGGGGGACAGUCCCCUCUGCGCCCCCCACAUCAGCUGGCCCCUCCGUCCACCGGACAGCUCAGGGGAUGGACCCACAAGCCCUGUCUGCUGAGGGCGCUGGGCGUGCCUGGGUGGUAACAGGACACGACGCUGCGCGGUGGAGGCCACACUCCCAGACGACCCGCUCUCCCAGAGGACUGGGGGCAUUCCCAGGCUUUGCAGGGAGAACCUGGCCGGCUGCCGGAGGUGACAGGGUGACGCCCGCACAGCCGCCAGGUGAGAGCCCUGUUUCUGCCCCAGACUGCGUUCAUCAAGGUCGCUCUGCGUUUCUGUCAUGGUUUUUCCUCUUUGCCACACCUGCCCCCUGAACUGACCAUGUUGCUGGAGGCACAGGCGGAGGAGCAGAAGGAGCCCCCCCCCCAUCUGCCACCAGCUUCGCACGUGGAGCUGUGCCAGCUGUCCUCCGCCAACCCCUCCAGCCUCAUCCCAGGAACACUUGCCCUUGAGACUCAGCUUCCUCAUCCAGAAUGUGGGUGUGUGCUCUGUCCGGCCCAGUGGGCAAAUGUCAGAAUAAAGUGGGGUGACUUUUCCCAUAAAGCCCCGUGGGAAGCAGGCUGCCGUCCUGUUGGUUUCUGAGGGCUUUGCGAUUCCUUCUUACAUAUGCCCUUCAGCGGAGAGUCUUGCAAAUGUUCACUGCUUAGUUUUGCGAAUGGAACCAAACCAAACCCUGAAGAACCUGGACUGGUCUUUGGGAAAGACCCUCCCCGCAAGAGGUGGCAGCCGUUUCCCAGUUUGUCUUUCCACAGAAGCGUGUGUGUGUGUGUGUGUCUGGUUUGAUACAUAAACAUUUUGGCAUGAGCUUGGCUGUUUUCUUAUGGACUGAACACACAGUGUCAUCCAUAGAACCGUAUUUGGAACGGCAGUCUUGGCGAUGCUGUUUUAUUACCGAGACUGUAUUUAGUCACUUUGGGGCGGGUCCGAGGUCUGGCAGGAGGUGCGUCGCUCUUGCGUGUAGCCUUCCUCUGAAAGGUUGCCAAUUAGGGUGACCAUCUUUCUGUGAUGUGAGCGUUUUCUUCACAUGAAACAGACUUGAGAGUCAGAGUUAUUUCACAUGUUGAUGUGCUUACAGCUCCCGCCCGAACGCUCAAAACCAACUUAAUUCCACUUAGUCUCCUUACAAAAAAUAAGAAUAGUCAAUCCCACGAGAAAUAUGCAGAUCGGUUUCUUGCGUAUUCCCCCUCUCAAGUCUGAUGCGUCCUGUGAUCAAAAACAAGCUAGAAAAUGGAGUGCCCGUUGUGGUGCAGAGGGUUCAGCGUCCUGGCACAGUGGGUUAAGGUAUCUGGUGUUGCCGAAGCUGUGGUGUUGGUCCCGGUGAAGCUUGGAUUCAGUCUCUGGCCCAGGAACUUCCAUAUGCUGCGGGUGUGGCAUUAAUGCUAACAAAACCAACCGACCAACCAAACCAACCCAAACCAGAAUGGACUGUGCGCAGGCCAGUGGUUCUGUGAAGCCACAUGCCACAGGCGGGUUCAGAGGUUUGUCCUGUGCUGCAGCGUUUGCAACUGGCCCCCAGGAUGGUGUGAGUUUCUCUGAGCUUGUCCACAGCCAGCUUUAAAGACAUUAUUCUGGAAAAGCUGUCACGUGUGUGUGUCUUGAUCUCUGUGUCUGAGUCUGUCUCUGUCUCUGGCCCUAAAUCCAGCUGUGCUGAUUAUGGAACAGGCCAGGCGAGGCUGUGGUCUGAUUGAAGCGAAAGAUAAGUUUGUGUGGCAGAUUAUUUAUUUUACAAAAGAAUUAUUCUAGUCAAAGGAGUUCAGCAAGAACGUCUCAGAACAGUAAACUCUCUUAGGGCUUUUAAAAUCCGAUUAGCCUGCCCAAGGCUUGGUUUUAAUGCGCUUGCGCAGGAAACGGUGACCACGUGUAUUUCUAUGUCGGGCGAUUUCGUUCCUGCUGGUCGGCAUCUUCGCCUCCGCUCUCGUUUGCCAGUGGACCGCCAGGACCCCCUUCACGCCCCCUCUGGGGGUGAUGCUCACUCUCUCUCCCUCCGGCCUCUCCUUUAUUCUCUGCUGAAACCUUGGGGGACUCCUCAGUCACCAGACACGCCCGCGCUCCCCUGGCCCCUGGCCGUCGCCUCAGCCCAGCCCUUCUCAGAGCCUCAGAAUCGGCGGCCACAGACCCGCUCACUGCGCUUGCUUCAUUUCAUGGUGAUUGAAGUUCAAGCCCAGCCAUCGAGCAAAACCUCGGAGGCCCUGGUGCCGUUUGAAACGGGCCUCCCUCGUGUGACCUGGUUUAUUCUGCGCUGAGGGUCUGGGGGAGCAGAGGUCCUGUCGGCUUCCUUUCUGGAGUGCCCGCCACUGUCCAGAGUGACCAGUGCUCCCUAAGUGAUGAAAGCAGGAGCAUUUUUAUCCUUGCCAUCCGUCCGUGGGGUUCCUACUGUGGCGCAGCCGCCACUCUGGAUGGUGUCUCCAGGAAGCCAAAUUCUAAGAAAACAAAGCUGGAGGCACAGACUUAGAGUGGGACGUUUUCUUCCAGCUGAAGCCCUGAGUGUCUCCCCUGGUAGGUGGUGGAAACGUGUAAUUUGCCCUUCAGAAGAGGCCCGGAGGCGCUUGAACGGUGUCACGUGUCGCUCAUUCCAUUCGCAGUGAAACGACGGUAACAGUGUUGGGCCACAAAACACAUGAGCUGUGCUCCUCUGUCCGUCUCCCAGACGUUUGCUGGGUCCCUGCUCCUCGGGCCUCGAGCUUGGCGGGGAUUACAGGCCCGAAGGAGCAGGGCUGGGCUCUGAGCUCGUGCCUUUCUUUGUGGGAGGGUUUUGUCCACCUGCAGCUUGUCUAGUAACUAACUCUGAGCGUCCACUUCCUUAAGGGAGGGUUCCUUCUUGGGAAAGGUUCUUCCUCCUGUCCUCCUGUCCUCUUUCUUCCAAUCCACCCGUCAGUGCACGUGGAACAUUCCACAAAACACAGUGAGGAUGUGGUACGAAGACAGACGGAAGUUCGUUUCUGGCCCAGAGGGGAGGGUUUGAGCUGGUGGCUUAAAGGACCCGAGUCCCGCAGGAGCCCUGACGCCACACCUGGGGGGACGUGCUGCCUGGGGGACAAGGCCGGCGGCCGCUGCACGGGACUUCGUGGGCGUCCCUAUUCCUCUCUUUCGAUGAUUUCUGUGCUAUUCAAACAAAGAUGUACAGAACCACAGGGUAUGUAAAAGUCCCUUUAAGACCACGCUUCCCCGUCCCUCGGCUGAGGCAGGAUAGAAGGACCAAGUUCAAUUGUGGUUUGUACAGAAAUGUGUCCUUAGGGCAUCCACGAACUUGUCCUUGUGGGAAUGCAGUCGCUGAUGUGUAAAAUUCUUAAUUCAAAAAAAAAAAAAAA
rnacentral:lncRNA from 1 species